rnacentral:rRNA from 1 species
UGGGGAAUAUUGGGCAAUGGGCGCAAGCCUGACCCAGCCACGCCGCGUGAGUGAUGAAGGCCUUCGGGUCGUAAAGCUCUGUGGGGAAGGACGAAAAAACAUUGGCUAAUAUCCAAUGGCUUGACGGUACUUCCUUAGCAAGCACCGGCUAACUCUGUGCCAGCAGCCGCGGUAAUACAGAGGGUGCAAACGUUGCUCGGAAUCAUUGGGCGUAAAGCGCACGUAGGCGGCCUGAUAAGUCGGUAGUGAAAGCCCUCGGCUUAACCGAGGAAGUGCUAUCGAAACUGCCAGGCUUGAGUACCGGAGAGGAUCGCGGAAUUCCCGGUGUAGAGGUGAAAUUCGUAGAUAUCAAGAGGAACACCUGAGGUGAAGACGGGUUGCUGGGCUGACACUGACGCUGAGGCGCGAAAGCCAGGGGAGCAAACGGGAUUAGAUACCCAUGUAGUCCCUGAGCGGGCUGGCAAGGCGCAU